CAUUUCUUAUACUCUUAUUAUAAGUAACACCUGCUCAAUGAAUUUUUAAUAGCCGCAGGAUAUUUACUGUGCUAAGGUAGCAUAAUCAUUAGCCUCUUAAUUAGAGGCUUGUAUGAACGGUGAAACAUUUCAUUUACUUUAUCUCCUAACCUUUUUUUAAAUUAAAUUAAGAAUAAAAAUGUUCCUAUUUCAGUAAAAGACGACAAGACCCUUUUGAACUUUACUUUUGUUUGGCUGGGGCAGCCAAGUAAAAAUAAUCUUUCUAUAUUCUUUUUUAUAAAUGACCCAAUAAAAUUGAUUAAAUGAACAAGUUACCAUAGGGAUAACAGCGUAAUAAUUUUUUAAAGCUCUUAUUUAAAAUAAAGUUUGCGACCUCGAUGUUGAAUUAAUGUAACUUUAUCGGUGCAGUAACUACAAAAGUGGGUCUGUUCGACCCUUAAUACAUUACAUGAU
rnacentral:rRNA from 1 species